UUAUGGCUCAGGAUGAACGCUGGCGGCGUGCUUAACACAUGCAAGUCGAACGAAGCUCCCCGAUUGGGUUUCGGACAAGAUGAAGGGAUGACUUAGUGGCGGACGGGUGAGUAAUGCGUGAGCAACCUGCCCUUCAGUGGGGGACAACAGUUGGAAACGACUGCUAAUACCGCAUAAAGUAUUCGGAAGGCAUCUUUUGAAUACCAAAGAUUUUAUCGCUGAAGGAUGGGCUCACGUCUGAUUAGCUAGUUGGUGAGGUAAUGGCUCACCAAGGCUGCGAUCAGUAGCCGGACUGAGAGGUUGAUCGGCCACAUUGGGACUGAGAUACGGCCCAGACUCCUACGGGAGGCAGCAGUGGGGAAUAUUGGGCAAUGGGCGCAAGCCCUGACCCAGCAACGCCGCGUGAAGGAAGAAGGCUUUCGGGUUGUAAACUUCUUUUAGCAGGGACGAAACAAAUGACGGUACCUGCAGAAUAAGCACCGGCUAACUACGUGCCAGCCGCGGC
rnacentral:rRNA from 1 species